rfam:Gossypium arboreum cultivar AKA8401 contig_48570_3, whole genome shotgun sequence.
CCUGGGGAAGCGUUUUGUCCACAUUAGCACAGAGCGUGCCCUCAAGGAAACGUUUUGUGCUAACGUGGACAAAACGCUCCCCUAGGG